CCGCCAGACUCCUACGGGAGGCAGCAGUGGGGAAUAUUGCACAAUGGGGGAAACCCUGAUGCAGCGACGCCGCGUGAGUGAAGAAGUAUUUCGGUAUGUAAAUCUCUAUCAGCAGGGAAGAAGAAGGACGGUACCUGAGUAAGAAGCCCCGGCUAACUACGUGCCAGCAGCCGCGGUAAUACGUAGGGGGCAAGCGUUAUCCGGAUUUACUGGGUGUAAAGGGAGCGUAGACGGCGAAGAAAGUCUGAAGUGAAAGCCCGCGGCUCAACCGCGGAAUGGCUUUGGAAACUUUUUUGCUGGAGUACCGGAGAGGUAAGCGGAAUUCCUAGUGUAGCGGUGAAAUGCGUAGAUAUACGGAGGAACACCAGUGGCGAAGGCGGAUUGCUGGACAGUAACUGACGCUGAGGCGCGAAAGCGUGGGGAGCAAACAGGAUUAGAUACCCUGGUAU
rnacentral:rRNA from 1 species